GCCUCGGUGGCGAAAUUGGUAGACGCACGGGACUUAAAAUCCCGCGGUGGCAACACCGUGCCGGUUCGAUUCCGGCCUGAGGCACCA
rnacentral:tRNA from 2 species